rnacentral:tRNA from 1 species
GGGCCGUUAGCUUAGUUGGUAGAGCGCCGCCUUUGCAAGGCGGAGGUCGUCGGUUCGACUCCGACACGGUCCACCA